UCCUGGUCGGACAUCAGGAGGUUAGUGCAAUGGCAUAAGCUAGCUUGACUGCGAGCGUGACGGCGCGAGCAGGUGCGAAAGCAGGUCAUAGUGAUCCGGUGGUUCUGAAUGGAAGGGCCAUCGCUCAACGGAUAAAAGGUACUCCGGGGAUAACAGGCUGAUACCGCCCAAGAGUUCAUAUCGACGGCGGUGUUUGGCACCUCGAUGUCGGCUCAUCACAUCCUGGGGCUGAAGUAGGUCCCAAGGGUAUGGCUGUUCGCCAUUUAAAGUGGUACGCGAGCUGGGUUUAGAACGUCGUGAGACAGUUCGGUCCCUAUCUGCCGUGGGCGCUGGAGAAUUGAGGGGGGCUGCUCCUAGUACGAGAGGACCGGAGUGGACGCAUCACUGGUGUUCGGGUUGUCAUGCCAAUGGCACUGCCCGGUAGCUAAAUGCGGAAGAGAUAAGUGCUGAAAGCAUCUAAGCACGAAACUUGCCCCGAGAUGAGUUCUCCCUGAGACUUUAAGUCUCCUGAAGGAACGUUGAAGACGACGACGUUGAUAGGUCGGGUGUGUAAGCGCAGCGAUGCGUUGAGCUAACCGGUACUAAUGAACCGUGAGGCUUAACCUUACAACGCCGAAGCUGUU
rnacentral:rRNA from 1 species